rfam:Felis catus isolate Cinnamon breed Abyssinian chromosome A3, whole genome shotgun sequence.
GCCUGGGUGGCUCAGUCGGUUGAGCGUCCGACUUCGGCUCAGGUCACGAUCUCACGGCUCGUGAGUUCGAGUCCCACAUUGGGCU